GUCUCCUGGAAGCCACAGCUGUGAUCCCUCAAGGUGAUGCUCAGUCAAGAAAGCUACACCCAAGGUCUGAGCUUCUCCCCCCAGGAUUCCUUCAGCUACUUCCCAGGGUGAGCCACCCCCAGAAGAACUGGAUCAAGAUGGGCUCCAGCAAGCACCUCAUGGACCAGAACCAUUGCCUUCUUCUCUUCUGUAUCAGUCAGGUGGAUCCAUCCAGUAACUCAUCUAUCUACCUACCUCAAACUUCCUGGUCACUUCACUUUGAGGUUCAGCUGCCCACCCCUGCGACUGGUUAGAGCCAGCCUGCUGCCAAUCCCAACAGAGCUCUCCAAUUCUGAACCUCAGGAGGAAGGUGUCUCCCGCCUGCCUUAUAUCUGCUUAGUAAGCAAGGAGUCUCCACAUCUGCGCUGAGGUGGCCAUCUAGUUCUGCUUCUGAGAAACAGACUGGCGUUCCGUUUGCUAAAGAAAUGAAAAAUAGUAACACCUCAGAGGGAGGCGCCACCACUUACGUUUUUGCCACAGUGGCCUGCACAGGGAACACUCCUGUGAAUGUUUGUUGUCUGAAGACAGCAGAGGUAAUUCUGAGACAAAUGAGUAGCAUCGUUAGUAAAGUUCAAAAGUCUGAGGGAUAGAUGGGCAUAACUACAAUGUAUUCCAUCUAAGUCUCGACAUGUGCUAUGUCCUGUUGCUGCAACCAAAUAUAAAUUAAAAUUUAAAA